rnacentral:misc_RNA from 1 species
UCUCCGUAGGUGAACCUGCGGAGGGAUCAUUACCGAGCUCAUGCCCUUGCGGGUAUAUCUCGCACCCUGUGCUAUUAUUACCUUUGUUGCUUUGGCGGGCCUCCAGGCUCCGGUCAGUCUAUCGGCUUCGGCUGGUAAGCGCCCGCCAGAGGAACCUAUAUCCUGAUUUCUAGUGUCGUCUGAAUACUAUAUAAUAGUUAAAACUUUCAACAACGGAUCUCUUGGUUCUG